GUCAUGUAAACGGUUAUGGAGGGAGAAGAGUAGAAUUGGAGAGAAGUGAAGCUUCCUGUCCUCAUACCCAUAGUGUCAAGAGCCGAAACUCGAGAGACAAACGGCGAACGACGUCGCAAUAGAUCACGGUCCUAACAGCAAACAUGCUUUUGAUUGGGACGUUACUCACCUUUACCGUCUCGCCGAUACACUUCAUAUCAUUCACGCCGUCUCCAGUCUGAGAAAUGAGAUUGUCUAUGAGACUACACAGGCACUCAUGGAGAAGCUCGUUGUCGAAGCUUUAGAGGUUGCUCUGAGGCUCGGGAAGAAUCUGUGAUUUAAUGGGACUUGCAAAGUUUGAGGAACUUACUCUGAAGUGGUGCCCAUCCAAGGAAUGCUACUUGCUGUGCGACAGUGGGAGCAGCUGUAUUACUGGUGGCAGGUUCUUCCUCUAAAUGCCUAUGCUUGUAUGAAAAGCUUGUGCUAUUUUAUGUAUUCAGUAUUUAAAUUUGUUUGUAUGUAAUACCAAUUUUGUGAAUGGUUGCUGAACACAGUGAAAAACCUCAUCUACUUACACAUUGGAUAUUGUUCCUAAGAGAUA